rnacentral:lncRNA from 11 species
GCAGAGUGAAUGAGAUCUAUGGGGAAAGCAGUGGACCUAGAGACUAAAGGCUCUCUGAAUUAGAGUUAUUUCGGGCUAUUCUUAAAUAUAGCUGUGAUCAUUUUCAAAAUUUCCAUAAUGAAUUUAAUCAUACAGUCUGGAGAGCGAACAUGUUAUUGAACAGCCGCCAUCUCAAUGGUCAAUGUCAGUGUCAUUUUCCAGGGAGCAGGGCUCUCUGAGCAUCAAGGAACAACCCUGAUUCUAACAGCCUCCUAGAAAAGUGUUAAGUGCAUUAAAUCUCUGUCAAUCACUUUUCCCUCCCAUUCGCUGGCCAAAUUAUUGUUAUUUAGCUGAAUAUAUUCCCUGGCAACUUAUUUGUGGUAUGUCCUUAUCUGUGUACCUUAUAUGACUAAUGAUGAUUGUUUAUGGAGAGCUGCCUGUCCAAUUAUUUUUGAAGGAACACAAGAAUGCAGAAUGACUGGAAGCAUCAGGUUUUUGCCAGAGAAUGCCUCAGCUCAAGACAUUUAAAUAAUACUUCAGAACCUUUUUGGAGCAGACCCAAACCUUUACUGAAACAAACAGAGGUUUUGAAUUGUUUUAUUUUAAAAUGGGCUACAGUGACAUGAGUGCCACUUCCAAGCAAUCUAAUUAAAAUAUGAAUUAUUAUCCUAGACAGCAAGCAAAUAAUAUAUUUGCAUGUUUUAGUUGGCAUGUGCUAUGUGAUCAGAAAUACGAAGACAUGUAUCAUUUCUUUAGUAAGCAAAGGCAUUCACUUUAACAUAUGUCGUUAGAUAGCUUUUUUAAAUAAAAGAGGAGACAGGGU